GGUCGUUUCAACAAAGCGUCUGGUAAAAAAAUGUCUUUAGACACUCUUACAGAUUUUGAAAUGCUUCUUAAAUAGUUACGAUUGUGUUCUGCACAGGGUUGUGGUGUAUUGUUUAAAUCUUUAUUAAAUUUUGUUCAUCUAGACCUCUGGAAUGAUUUUUCAAGUGAAUAUCUUUGUUAACUCUUUGUGAAUUAGUUUUAUGCAUGAAGCGAAUUUUUAUUUAUCAAUUGUUUACCAAUCUCUUAAACACAUUAUUUGUACUGAAUAAAAG
rnacentral:lncRNA from 1 species